rnacentral:rRNA from 1 species
GGAAUCUUGCGCAAUGGGCGAAAGCCUGACGCAGCCAUGCCGCGUGAAUGAUGAAGGUCUUGGGAUUGUAAAAUUCUUUCACCGGGGACGAUAAUGACGGUACCCGGAGAAGAAGCCCCGGCUAACUUCGUGCCAGCAGCCGCGGUAAUACGAAGGGGGCUAGCGUUGCUCGGAAUUACUGGGCGUAAAGGGCGCGUAGGCGGAUCGUUAAGUCAGAGGUGAAAUCCCGGAGCUCAACUUCGGAAUUGCCUUUGAUACUGGCGAUCUUGAGUGUGAGAGAGGUAUGUGGAACUCCGAGUGUAGAGGUGAAAUUCGUAGAUAUUCGGAAGAACACCAGUGGCGAAGGCGACAUACUGGCUCAUUACUGACGCUGAGGCGCGAAAGCGUGGGGAGCAAACAG